rnacentral:ncRNA from 1 species
GGCAUCUCAAAGGGGUGCUUUUUUAAAAGGCUGAGAUUAUACCCAAUGAACCUGGGCGGGUAAUGCUGCCAAGGGAGUGCGCUUUGCGCAUCU